rnacentral:lncRNA from 1 species
GUGUGUGUAUGUGCAUACAUGCAUAUAUUUGAAUUUUAAAAUCAAAAACAGAAUGCAUUAUAGCUUCUAACUAUUGGAUUAAUUUGAAAACAGCUUUGUGGUGGAAUUUUACAGUGGGCAGCAUGAGGCCUGAGUGGAAAUGGCUUCUUUUGUCCCACGUUAAAUGUGAUGCCACUUGAGGUCCUGGUCACAAAUGGAUCCAAAUCGGAGGAGGAAAUGGGAAACAUUUUCCUUGCUCUAACAUUCAACUCCACUGUUGGUCAAAGGAAACCCUUUCUGAGGAGCCAACUUUUCCAGAAUAAAAUGGAAGUCUGUAUUGUUAGAGUGAGAACAAAGACACAUCAUUGCAGGUGUGGAAGGUCCGUCACUCAGGACUGACAAUUGAGAAAGAGCUAGUGAAUGCUGGUGUGUCUGCAGACGAGGAGACACAAAUAGGCUGAGCUCAGAGGGCUCCAGUGUAGAGCUUUACCCAUGGUCUUGAACCUGAGAGUUCUAAGCACUUGCUUGCUUUUAGUUUUCUAAAUCAUUCAGAGCAUUUUUACCCAUGGCCUCUAAUAUGGUGUGGAUCUGUGUCCUCACCCAAAUCUCGUGUCAAAUUGUAAUCCCCAAUGUUGGAGGUGGAGGCUGGUGGGAGGUGAUUGGAUCAUGGGGGCAGUUUCUCAUGAAUGAUUUAGCACCAUCUCCCUUGGUCAAGACAGUGAGUGAGUGAGUUAUCAUGAAAUCUGUCUGUUUAAAAGUAUGUAGUGCCUCCCUCCACCCUUCCUCCUCCUCUGGCCAUGUAAGAUGUGCUGGCUUCCCCUUCGUUUUCCACCAUGACUGUAAGUUUCUUGAAGCCUCCCCAGAAGCUGAGCAUGUGCCAGUAUCAUGCUUCCUGUACAGCCUGAAGAACUGUGUGCCAAUUAAACCUCUUUCCUUUAUAAAUUAUCUCGUCUCAGGUAUUUCUUUAUAGCAGUGCAAGAAUGGACUCACACAGCCUCUCAUGUUUCCCUGGAAGGCAUGUGGAAGGACAGAGGAGAAAAUAAAAUCUUAAAUUGAAUUUUCAGGAUGUACUGGACACUAUGCUUUCACUUGACCUUAUUUCACUUGGUUCCCAGGACUACUCCAGAAAAUACAGUGUGUUAUUCUUCCCAUUUUGCUGAUGAUUGGAUAAAGAAAAUGUGGUGUGUAU